CCAAAGUUUAUAAUUUUUUACACGUUGGUAUCGACCGUCUCUAGUACAAGUGACAAAAAGUUUGGUGGUUAGUUUCUGAGGUCUUAAAUUUGAAUUUUAGUUGAUUCAUAUUUUCAGCUAAAUUUAUUUUUUAAAAAAAUAAACAGAGCGGGUAACAUAUUAUCUUUCUUUCUAAAAAAAAAAAAUUUUUUACACGUUGAUAUUUUAAAUAUCAGUAAAAUUUAUAACCUUUUU
rnacentral:lncRNA from 1 species